rnacentral:rRNA from 1 species
AGCUACAGGCUUAACACAUGCAAGUCGAGGGGAAACGACAUCGAAAGCUUGCUUUUGAUGGGCGUCGACCGGCGCACGGGUGAGUAACGCGUAUCCAACCUGCCCACCACUUGGGGAUAACCUUGCGAAAGUAAGACUAAUACCCAAUGACGUCUCUAGAAGACAUCUGAAGGAGAUUAAAGAUUUAUCGGUGAUGGAUGGGGAUGCGUCUGAUUAGCUUGUUGGCGGGGUAACGGCCCACCAAGGCGACGAUCAGUAGGGGUUCUGAGAGGAAGGUCCCCCACAUUGGAACUGAGACACGGUCCAAACUCCUACGGGAGGCAGCAGUGAGGAAUAUUGGUCAAUGGACGAGAGUCUGAACCAGCCAAGUAGCGUGCAGGAUGACGGCCCUAUGGGUUGUAAACUGCUUUUAUAAGGGAAUAAAGUGAGUCUCGUGAGACUUUUUGCAUGUACCUUAUGAAUAAGGACCGGCUAAUUCCGUGCCAGCAGCCGCGGUAAUACGGAAGGUCCGGGCGUUAUCCGGAUUUAUUGGGUUUAAAGGGAGCGUAGGCCGGAGAUUAAGCGUGUUGUGAAAUGUAGAUGCUCAACAUCUGCACUGCAGCGCGAACUGGUUUCCUUGAGUACGCACAAAGUGGGCGGAAUUCGUGGUGUAGCGGUGAAAUGCUUAGAUAUCACGAAGAACUCCGAUUGCGAAGGCAGCUCACUGGAGCGCAACUGACGCUGAAGCUCGAAAGUGCGGGUAUCGAACAGGAUUAGAUACCCUGGUAGUCCUCACGGUUAACGAUGGAUGCCC